GCGAGCGUAGCUCAGUUUGGUUAGAGCAUCUGGUUGUGGUCCAGAGGGUCGCGGGUUCGAGUCCCGUCGCUCGCCCCA
rnacentral:tRNA from 1 species